rnacentral:rRNA from 1 species
AUUGAACGCUGGCGGCAUGCCUUACACAUGCAAGUCGAACGGCAGCACGGGUGCUUGCACCUGGUGGCGAGUGGCGAACGGGUGAGUAAUACAUCGGAACAUGUCCUGUAGUGGGGGAUAGCCCGGCGAAAGCCGGAUUAAUACCGCAUACGAUCUACGGAUGAAAGCGUGGGACCUUCGGGCCUCGCGCUAUAGGGUUGGCCGAUGGCUGAUUAGCUAGUUGGUGGGGUAAAGGCCUACCAAGGCGACGAUCAGUAGCUGGUCUGAGAGGACGACCAGCCACACUGGGACUGAGACACGGCCCAGACUCCUACGGGAGGCAGCAGUGGGGAAUUUUGGACAAUGGGCGAAAGCCUGAUCCAGCAAUGCCGCGUGUGUGAAGAAGGCCUUCGGGUUGUAAAGCACUUUUGUCCGGAAAGAAAUCCUUGGCCCUAAUACGGUCGGGGGAUGACGGUACCGGAAGAAUAAGCACCGGCUAACUACGUG